GCGUCAAAGCGUACCAUUACACAAAUCCAAAACGCACAAACCACCCCUGACAACUCACAGAGCAAUUCUAUUAGACAAUAGAAGAACUAAUGCUAAAACUAGUAAUAAGAACGCACACUCUCCUUUACACACCCCUCAAUCAGAAAUAGAUAAACUACUGAAAAUUAACAAUCUAAAAAAAGAAAUAAACCCACACAUCAAGCAGAAAUUCACACAUCUUUGUGACACCAACACAGGAGUGUUCUAAGGACAGAUUAAAAGCCCAACAAGGAAUUCAGCUAAUAGACUCCAACUGUUUACCAAAAACAUAGCCUUUAGCACUACAAGUAUUAAAGGUCUCGCCUGCCCAGUGAUUCUUUCAACGGCCGCGGUAUCCUAACCGUGCAAAGGUAGCGUAAUCAUUUGUCUCCUAAAUAGAGACUUGUAUGAACGGCUAACUGAGAGUCUAACUGUCUCCUAAGGCCAAUCAAUGAAACUGAUCUCCCAGUACAAAAGCUGAGAUAAACACAUAAGACGAGAAGACCCUGUGGAGCUUAAAACACACACUAUUUUUUCACCACAUAAACCACGGAAACAACAUCCAUAAAACAUAGUGAAACUUUUUAGUUGGGGCGACUGUGGAAUAAAAAAAAACUUCCAUGACAGGGAACUCCCCUAUCAAGGCCUACAAGCCAAAAUAACUUUCUUNCUGACCCAGACAUCUGAUCAAC
rnacentral:rRNA from 1 species